GAUGAACGCUGACAGAAUGCUUAACACAUGCCGGUCAACUUGAAUUUGGGUUUUUAACUUAGGUUUGGGUGGCGGACGGGUGAGUAACGCGUAAAGAACUUGCCUCACAGCUAGGGACAACAUUUGGAAACGAAUGCUAAUACCUAAUAUUAUGAUAAUAGGGCAUCCUAUAAUUAUGAAAGCUAUAAGCGCUGUGAGAGAGCUUUGCGUCCCAUUAGCUAGUUGGAGAGGUAACGGCUCACCAAGGCGAUGAUGGGUAGCCGGCCUGAGAGGGUGAUCGGCCACAAGGGGACUGAGACACGGCCCUUACUCCUACGGGAGGCAGCAGUGGGGAAUAUUGGACAAUGGACCGAGAGUCUGAUCCAGCAAUUCUGUGUGCACGAUGAAGUUUUUCGGAAUGUAAAGUGCUUUCAGUUGGGAAGAAACAAAUGACGGUACCAACAGAAGAAGUGACGGCUAAAUACGUG
rnacentral:rRNA from 1 species